GAUGAAGAACGUAGCGAAAUGCGAUAAGUAAUGUGAAUUGCAGAAUUCAGUGAAUCAUCGAAUCUUUGAACGCACCUUGCACCCUUUGGUAUUCCGAAGGGUAUGCCUGUUUGAGUGUCAUUAAAUUCUCAACCAUUGAACUUGUUUCUCUGGCUUGGAUGUGGGGGUUGCGGGCUUCGCAAGAGGUCGGCUCUCCUUAAAUGCAUUAGUGGAAACCGCUUGCAGGAUUCAUUCACUUUUUGGCGUGAUAGUAUCGUCGUCAGAAGUAGUGUUUCCGAGGUUUCUGCUCUCUAACCGUCCGCAAGGACUCUAUAAUGACUUGUUUGACCUCAAAUCAGGUAGGACUACCCGCUGAACUUAAGCAUAUCAAUAAGCGGAGGA
rnacentral:misc_RNA from 1 species